rnacentral:rRNA from 1 species
ACGGGAGGCAGCAGUGAGGAAUCUUCCACGAUGGGGGCAACCCUGAUGGAGCAACGCCGCGUGCAGGAUGAAGGCCUUCGGGUUGUAAACUGCUUUUAUAAGUGAGGAAUAUGACGGUAACUUAUGAAUAAGGAUCGGCUAACUACGUGCCAGCAGCCGCGGUCAUACGUAGGAUCCGAGCGUUAUCCGGAGUGACUGGGCGUAAAGAGUUGCGUAGGCGGUUUGUUAAGUGAAUAGUGAAAUCUGGUGGCUCAACCAUUCAGGCUAUUAUUCAAACUGGCAAACUCGAGAGUGGUAGAGGUCACUGGAAUUUCUUGUGUAGGAGUGAAAUCCGUAGAUAUAAGAAGGAACACCGAUGGCGUAGGCAGGUGACUGGACCAUUUCUGACGCUAAGGCACGAAAGCGUGGGGAGCGAACCGGAUUAGAUACCCGGGUAGUCCACGCCGUAAACGAUGGAUACUGGCUGUUGGAGGUAUCGACCCCUUCAGUAGCGAAGCUAACGCGUUAAGUAUCCCGCCUGUGGAGUACGGCCGCAAGGCUAAAA